UGUUGUAAUACUUUCUUAAACAACAGGCCUGAAAAACCUCCUUUUUUCCAAAUACAGAGAGGAAGUUAUGUCUUGCACAAGAUGCCAUGAAGAUGUCCAUGCUGGGGUAUUGGUUGAGCCUUACAUAGACUUCCUUAGGGCAGUGUGCUUCAGUGGGAUAACAGAAUGAACUUUUGACGAAUCACAGAUCAACAGCAAAGAAAUGAACUGAGGACAACUCUACAUGGACCACUUAUCUUUUGGACCGAUCUGGAGUGGUGAAUGCUGGAUUGGUUCUGGAAUGGUUCUGAAUGACAGCCCGCUAUCACUACUAAGAGAACCAGCAUGGUGUACUGGUUUGACCAUUGGACUAUGAUCAUGGAAACAAGGGUUUGAACUCUUACAAGCUAUGGAAACCUUCAGGAUGGC
rnacentral:lncRNA from 11 species